GGCUCAGCUAGGCUUUGGGGGGUGCGUCUGGAGGAGGGGCAGAACCUUAGCUGAGAAGCUACUGGGGCCUGGCACAUUCUGCUACAUGCUUCACAAACAUGACGCCUUAGUGCCUCACCACUACCCAGGAGGUGGCUGCCACUCUCCCCAUCUCAGGGAAGGAAACCGGAGUGGUCUCAGAGGUGAAAGAAGGUGCCCAAGGAAAUGAUGCUAGGAAGUGCUUGAGCUGGAAUCGAAACUCAUUCAUUCAUUCAUCCAUUCAUUCACUGUAUUUUUACUCUUUAGUAUUUUUGCUGUGUGUGGGGCUAUAGAGACGAGCUGUAACCCUUCUCCCCUCCCUGCUUAUGCUCACAAACAGGCAAGUAGAUAGGAACGAAUCACUACAGCUAGGUUUUUUUAUGAUAGUCCCCGGAUGGGGGUACCGUGAGUGGACCACAAACACUAAAUCGUGGCCAGUUCUACCUCGGGGCAGUGGGUGGAGAAGUGGGAGGGGGACAGGAAAAAUAGAAAACCUUCUCGAAAGGGACCUAUGCAGCCUGGCCUUUUUCUUCCCCUCCCCCGAAUGGCCUCCACAAACAUUGAUGGGGGGAGGGGCCUCUUUAAAUUCCCCCGACUCCUCUGCUCUGGGCCACCUGACUUUACUGUGGCAUCCUGAGGAUCAUUAGAUCAUUGUGAAGUGCCGCGUAUUUCUUGGUAUAUUUGGACAGCCCAAAUGUACAGAAAUCGUCCUUUUUUUCCCUGCUUUCCCAGUUCAACAGAUGAGUUUAAAAUAUGCUCAACCUGAAGAACAAGGAUUUUUUUUUUGAAAUGUGGGGAGCCUGAGGUAUAAAUGGAAAAGAGAUGAAACCCAAAGUAUUUUCAAGGUGUCUUUCUCUGUGUUUCUAUUUUGCAGGUUUUAAAAGCAGAAUUAAAGUGUAAAGAAGAGGGAAAUGGCUCUGAUGCAGCAUUUACAUAAGAAACACAUUCAGAAAAAGAGGCUGUGAUUCUGAAAGUGUCCUUAUUCUACUGCACUAGAAAUCUCCUUUGGGGUGGGGGAGGUUUAAAUUAGCCGGGCGAGGAGGAAAUAAAAACCCCCUUUGCAAAUCACAGAUCUCUCUGAACUGACAAUUUCGCCGGAGGACAUGGCUACACUGGGUUCGGGGAGCACACAAAGCCCUCUUUGAACGACGGCUCCACCUUCUCAAGCCUUUAUUAUAAUUUCCUGCCUCCUACAUCCUCUGGACGAGUCCCGACAGUGCUCCGUGCUCCAUCAUGGGCCUUGAGCAUCUCUCUCAAGGAGGCCCUUGUUUUUAGUGGCUGCGCAGUUUGCCCUAGAAAUGUGUCCACAGGCCAUUUCAUUGACUCCAGAAAUCAAAGGCAGUGGGAAGAGCACAAAAUGCCAUGCACUUCCAUAAGCCCGUCUUAUGAAUGUGGAUUUGCAUGUUUUCUCCAACCUGUGUCAAAUAUUUGCAUGUUCAACUGCAAAGAGUUGUACCUAAUGCUGUCACCUCAGUGUUCUGGGUGUCUCUGGCUGCAUCAUCAACAAGCCUACACUUGGUGACUUAAACAGCAACCGUUUUAUUGUGUAUUGCGCUUUAGUAGCUCAGGAAGCAGGGCCGGGCUCAGCCGUGAGUCCCCUGCUCCAGGUGGUGUCCACUGGGAUCACGUGGUGGUGGCCAGCAGGUGGUAGAGCUGAUCUAGAGGGUCCAAAACUGUUUUACUCACACAUCCGGCACCUUGGCAGCGGUGGCUGGAAGGCUUGACUCCCCGGGCCCCCCUCUCUCCCUGUAGGCCCAAGGCCUCCCUGUGCAGUGAAUAUUUCCAUCAAGGUGGCCAGACAUCUUACCUAGUAGUUCAGGUCUUGAACACCGAGUGUUCUAGGACACACAAAGCUGAAACUGCCAGACCCUAUUAAAGGUCUUUCUUUGCAGACUCAACCUUCCCAACUCCGUCCUCACCCUCUCUCCCUCACCCUGACCCUGCAGACACUGUCACAUCUGCUGCAAUGUAUUAUUGGUCAAAGAACGUCACAGAACAGCCCAGAAUAACAGGGAGGGGACAUUGACCCCACCUCUCUAUGGUUGGAGAAUCAGAGAAUUUGUCUCCACCUCAAACCCAGGGGCCAACUAUACCCCGUAUAGGUAGAGCUGAUUUAGACUUAUUUUUAGUUUAGACUUAUUUUUUCAGGGAGAAGAAUAGACUACACAGAAUCCUUAGGGAAACGUUGACUGAAACCACCUGCCUUGGCCAGGCUCAAUGAUGACCACUUGCGUGGGUUGUCUCACAAUAGGAGCUCUCAAUAAGGAGCUUGGUGCUGUCACCGCACACUAACCAGAGAAUUCGGGAGGGAUCAAAAGGAGGGAAGAGACACCAGCCAGUCAUAUGUCCUGCCAACCUCCCAGAAGCCCUCGCGCUGGGAUCCAUCUUGGCUGGGAGAUGCGCAUGCUGCCAGCAGGGCCCCGAGUCAGACCGAAUAUGGGCAGGAUGAUGGGCAGAAACAACCUAGGAACCAACUCCUCCUCUGUAAAACCCAAGACGGUGAGCACAUGGCAGAGCAGUUCCCUGGGGUUCCCUUUCUCUGCUGCUCUCCGUCCUGGCGCCUAUUCCCAAAGAUUCUUUUGCUUUAUCAGUACAUGUACCUCCUUGGACAGUUCGUUUUCAAAUGUUUGACAAGAGCCUCUUCUCGGGCCCUGGAAAUGGUCCCCCUUCUAGUAACAGAAUCAUAGAAUCUGAGAUUUGGAACAGAUCUCAGGACCUUUAAUAGGGUCUGGCAGUUUCAGCUUUGUGUGUCCUAGAUCAUUCAACAUCCUCAUUUUACAGGUAAGCAAAGCUAAGAGAGGUCUAACAACCUGAGAGAGACCACAGCCCCUGGUUGCAAAGGCGAGCCUCAAACCCCGGGGUUUCUGACCCCAAGUUCAAGAAGAAACUUACUGAAUGCCCACUCGCUUCACAGGGCCGCCAGUUACCCAGAGGAAGAGACCCAAAGUUGAAUCGUAGGCUGCUCUUCUUGGUAUCUAAGAGUUUACAAGUCCCUGGCGAGGAAGAGACAAGGCAUUAAAGUAAUACAGGAAAGUGACAAUUGCAAUUAAUAUGCCAUGAAAUUCUACAGAGGAAUCAAUCUAAUUGGGCGAGAGUGUUUAGGAAGGGAUUUCUGAAGGCCUGGGUUUGAUACAGGUCUUCAAGGAUGGGUGAAACUUUUUUUUUUAAAUGGUUGCACCUGUAGCAUAUCGAAAUGUCUGGGGGCGGGGAUUGAAUCUGAGCCACAGCUGCCUCAACGCCAGAUCCUUUAAUCCACUGUGCCAGGCCAGGGAUUGAACCCGCAUCUUUGCAGUGACCCACGUCACUGCAGUCGGAUUCUUAACCCACUGCGCCCUAGCGGGAGCUCCUGUGUAAAACUUUUGCCUGGUGGUGGUAUAGCAGGAGGCUGCUCCAGCCAGAGUACAGGGUGAGUAAAAGGUGUGACUUGACAGCCCAGGAGGAGUGUGCGUGUUGGGGUGAGGAGUGAGAACUUAAUUCUGCAUCAUCCACACGCUGACCCCGUCACACUGGAGAACCAGGGUACACGCUGUUUGUAUCGAUGUCCAGACCUGCACAGAGCCGGUGGUUGGUUUACUGAGAUGCUUUAUAGUUAACCCUCCUAUGCGAGCAGGAUCAGCUUUCUGUUCUAGCUCUGCCGUUCUUACUACUGGCCAAACCUUAGAAUCUCUGUGAAUGCCUUGGUCCCACCCCAGAAUGACCAGGUUAGAUUCUCUGGAAUGGGACUUGGGUACCGAUUUUUUUUAUUAUUAUUAUUAUUGAAUUCUUCAGGUGCUUUGAUUAUCCGUCAGCUGUGAUUCUCAAAUGUUAGUGCGCAUUGGAAUCCCAUGGAGGACUUAUCAAAACAUGGAUUACUGGGUCCCACGCCCAGAGCUUCUGGUUUAGAAGCUCUGGGGAUGGGGCCCAAGAAUUAGCAUCUCUAACAAACUCCUGAGUGAUGCCCAUGGUGCCUAUCCCUGGACCGCACUUUGAGAACCACUGCUCCAGAUGGUUGACCUAUCCAUUUACACUUGUGUCUACCUCCUUGGAAAUUUCUCUUGCAAAGAGAACGGAAGUGGCAGACUGCCUAGCCCACAGGUCUGCUACUCAAAGGCGGUCCAUGGGCCAGAAGCAUUGGCGUCACCUGGGAGCUGGUCAGAAAGGCAGACUCUCAAGCCACAUCCCAGACCUGGGAAAUCAGAAUCAGCAUUUUAACGGGAUUACCCAAGUGAUUUGAAGGCAUAGUUCAGUUUGACAAGCUCUGUUUUGAGCCAGGUUCUGAGAGUUGAUUCCUCUUAGAUGCCUGAAUCUUGAGGGUCUCACAAGAUGGGCAGAGGGCCCAUCCCCAGGCACAGCAGUUCUAAUGACUCACUGGAGAUGGGCACUGCACCACUGGUGACACAGGGACUCACCUGAGCUUUUUAACACAAUGAAUCUGGAUGAUCGUGGCUAGAUAACAAACGUAACACGUCUGGGGUUUUGUGGGGGUUUGUUUCUGUUUUUGUUUUGCCUUUCACAGUUUCUGAAGCCCUCUCACCUAUGAUCUAGUUCUAUAUCUAUUUAAAGAUGUUGAAAUACCCAAGUCAAGCACAAGAGAGACAAACCUAAUCACUUAACUAUCUGGAGUACCAGCUACUUCAAAUUACCUUCCCUCCUACCAGUGGGUGGCCACAGGCCAUUUUCACAGCAUUUGGCCCAGUUCCGGACUAGACUAAGUUUCCAUUUUGAAAUCAGGUAUUGAUGACUUCUUUCACAGUGCUCUCAGAACUAAAUGCCCCCAGCUGGCUCUGAGUGUCUCGCCUAAGGAGAUCUUUCUUCCUUUUUACAAUGUGGUGGAGGGUUAAUGAUUCAUUUGGCAAAGGUUCACCCAAGUGGGUUUGGAAUUUGCCUUAUUUUCGGGUGGCUGGCACCAAAGUAGCUACACUGAUACAUUAGUACUGGCAGGACACUGCAAGCCUUCCCCACCCCUCCCAGCAUCCCAGACCCCUUGCCUUAGCUUCUAAUCCAAUUAGUUCAGUUUAAUCCCUUUCAGGGCCAGGCCACUGCUCUGUCUCAUUCCCAUUUGAGUCCUUCUGUCUCCUUUUGCCAAUCUCAUGAUCAAUUGGAUUAUUCUAAAAUCUCUAGCUUGGUCUUUCC
rnacentral:lncRNA from 1 species